rnacentral:tRNA from 1 species
GGGGGUUUAGCUCAGUGGCAUAAGCACCUGCCUUGCAACCAGGUGGUCGUGAGUUCAACCCCCG